rnacentral:rRNA from 1 species
AUGAGAGUUUGAUCCUGGCUCAGGAUGAACGCUGGCGGCGUGUCUAAGGCAUGCAAGUCGAACGGACUGUUAUUUGUAGCAAUACUUAGAACAGUUAGUGGCAAACGGGUGCGUAACACAUUGGUAACCUGCCUCAAAGUCGGGCAUAAUCCCGCGAAAGUGGGACUAAUUCCACGAUAGUCAUCGAAGGUGAGAUUCCUUCGAUGUAAAGUCGCAAGACGCUUUGAGAGGGGCCUAUGGCCUAUCAGCUUGUUGGUGAGGUAACGGCUCACCAAGGCUAUGACGGGUAGGGGGUGUGAGAGCACGACCCCCCUCACUGGGACUGAGACACUGCCCAGACACCUACGGGUGGCUGCAGUCGAGAAUAUUCCCCAAUGGCCGAAAGGCUGAGGGAGCGACGCCGCGUGCAGGAAUAAGGCCUUCGGGUCGUAAACUGCUUUUGCCGAGGAAGAAUCAUGACGGUACUCGGAGAAUAAGAGGUUGCUAACUCUGUGCCAGCAGCAGCGGUAAUACAGAGACCUCAAGCGUUAUCCGGAUUUAUUGGGCGUAAAGGGUCCGCAGGUGGCUUUUCACGUCGAUGGUUAAAUGUUGGAGCUCAACUUCAACACCGCUGUCGAUACGGUUAAGCUAGAGCAUGGAAGAGGUAAGCGGAAUUACUGGUGUAGUAGUAAAAUGCGUUAAUAUCAGUAGGAACACCAAAUGCGAAGGCAGCUUACUGGGACAUUGCUGACACUCAGGGACGAAAGCGUGGGGAGCGAAAAGGAUUAGAUACCCUUGUAGUCCACGCCCUAAACGAUGAAUGCUAGAUAUUGGGAGUAUCGACCCUCUCAGUGUCGUUUAAAAUAGUUAACACAUUAAGCAUUCCGCCUGGGGAGUACGGUCGCAAGACUAAAACUCAAAGGAAUAGACGGGGACCCGCACAAGCAGAGGAGCAUGUGGUUUAAUUCGACGGUAAGCGAGAAACCUCACCUAGGUUUGAAAUGUAGCUGCAAGCCGAAAGAAACUUUGGCCGCCUUCGAGGGUGCUACACAGGUGCUGCAUGGUUGCCGUCAGCUCGUGUCGUGAGAUGUACCGUUAAGUCGGGUAACGAGCGCAACCCCCGUCCCAUGUUGUUUUUUCAUGGGAGACCGCCUCGGAUAACGGGGAGGAAGGUGGGGAUGACGUCAAAUCAGCAUGGCUCUUACACCUAGGGCUACACACGUGCUACAAUGGCUAUGACAAUGGGCUGCCAAGUCGUAAGACGGAGCUAAUCCCACCAAACAUAGCCCCAGUUCGGAUUGAGGGCUGAAAUUCGCCCUCAUGAAGCCGGAUUUGCUAGUAAACGCGUAUCAGCAUCGGCGCGUUGAAUACGUUCUCGGGUCUUGUACUCACCGCCCGUCACAUCAAGAGAGUUGUAUAUGCCCGAAGGCCCCGAUGAGGGGACGAAGGUAGAGACAGCGAUAGGGAUGAAGUCGUAACAAGGCAUCCGUAGCGGAAGCUGUGGAUGGAUCACCUCCUUUCU